AGAUUUUAACUACCAUUAUGAAGAGCACAACUUUGGAAGGGAAAGGCCUGCCUCCUGUUGUAAAGUAGGAGAAGGAAACAAGCUGCCACGUAAGAAGUUCCUUUCACCUCCCCCAUGAUUCUGAGAUCUCCCCAGCCAUGUGGAACUCAUUUUAUAUGUGGGAAGCACUUAGGAAAUAAAUGUUCAAUGAAUGAAUUAAUGAAGGAAUGAAUGCAAAAACAGCUAUGAAAAAAAGCUUAAAAAGAUUCUGCCUGCUUAUGCAAGAUGCUAAUCAUAGCAUUCCAGAAUGCUAAUGGAGAAUUAGCCCAUUUUGAAUUUUGGGAAGAGGACCAGUCUGACCAUACAUACACACUUUUCUCAGCACAUGACAGACAGUAGCAUCCUAGCAGCCAUCCUGUAUUUUGAAGAUGAAUGAGUGACACCAAGGAUGAGAAAGUGAGUGUGGAGUCCUGGACUUCCCAUCUCCAGACCUCUUACAGGAAAGAGGAAAAGGAAACCUGUGUCUUCUUAAUGUCAUGAUUAUUUGGGUUUUUUGUUCAGAGAAUUCUGCCAAACCUAACACUCAUUUAAAAGCUUAUCAAGCAAUUAUUAUAAAUUUAUUGAGUGAGCACUUUCUAUUCUUAAAAUUUGGGAUUUGCCCUUUCAUUAAUAGUAGAAAUAUAAGAAAUUAUCCUUGCUCUUUUUUGAAAAUUUACUUUAAGAAAUAAGGCUGACCUUGAGCACAAUGCUGUGUCAAAACUCUGUCAGAAAUACACAUAAACUUACAUAACACUCCAUACUUCUUUUGUGGUGACCCUUUCCACAUGACUUUUCCUUCUUAAUAGUACUGUAAGGUUCUUGAAAAAGAAGCUGGGUCUAAUUCGUACAUCGAGUAAUCAAUAAAAGCAUUACAGCUGUGACACAAUGAAAAUGAUAUGUGAGUUUUCCUGCCAUUCUGCUUACCUCUUACAGCAAGAGAUAAUUCCAGCUUGGUCAAUUGUGUCUUGCCUAUUUCCUUUCCUAACAUUCAAGAAACUCCUUCUUAACCACUUAAGUGCUUGGACUCUUGCAACAGAGAAUCAGGACAAAGUAGGAGAACAGUAUUAGGUUGGUGCAAAGGUAAUUGCGGUUUUUGCCAUUACCUUCGAUAGCAAAAACUGCAAGUACCUUUGCACCAACCUAAUAGUUCAAGGGACUAUUCUACUAUAAGGCAAGGGACACAUGGUGGCAAAAGCUAGAAGAAUAUUUUCUUCUUGAUGUUUAGCACCUUUUUUCAAAGGUUUAAAUUCAUUAGAGUACAUAAUUUAAAUAUAAUUAAAUGCACCCAUUUUAAGUGUAUAACAAAAUGAGUUUUGACAAAUGUAUAUGCCUAAGCUACCGUCAGCCCAAAUGUAAUAUAAAACACUUCAAGCAUCCCACUAUGACCUCUCAAGCACAUUGAAGUUCUAGCCUCAAGUAAUCAUUGAUGCGUUUCCUGUUACUGUAGGUUCGUUUUGCCUAUUCUGAAAUUUCAUAUUGGUGGAAUCAUAAAACAUAUUCUCAUAUGCAUCUGUAUUCUUUCACUCAGCAUGAUAUUUUUGAGAUUAAUUCAGGUUUUAUAGUGUUUCAGUAGUUCUUUUUUUGGUAAGACAAAUAACAUUUACUAUAGAAAAUAACUAUUUUUUUAAAUAGUGGGGUAAGUAACUGCACUGCAUCUGGCAGAAGGCAGGCCCUUAAGUAAGAUUAGCCUUUCUUUUUAUCCCAACCAAGCCAAGAAGACCUCAUCCUUCAAAGUUCAUUCAUUUUUAUUGAAGAGUAAUAGUUUAUUGCAACACAGUGAAAAGGUAACCUACAGAAAGAGAGAAAAAUAUUUGCAAACUAUAUAUCCUAUGUUGAUUAAUUCCCAAAAUAUCUAAGUAAUGCCUACAACUCAAUGGCAUAAUGGUUAAUUUCCAAAAUAUCUAAGGAACUCCUACAACUCAAUGGUUUAAAAAACAUAAUAACUCAAUUUUUAAAUGCGCUAAAGACUCAUCUAGAUAUUUGUCUAAAGAAGACAUACAAAUGGCCAAUAGGUAGAUGAAAAAAUGAUCAAUGUCACUAAUCAUCGGGGAAAAGAAAUCAAAACCACAAGAUAUCACCUGACACCUGGUGGAAUGACUCUAAUUUUUUUAAAAGAGAAGAAGUGUUGGCAAAAAUGUGGACAAAAGGAAAUUUUGAACUUUUGAACUUUUGAAUGGUGUUGAUGGGAAUCCAAAAUGGCACAGCUGCUAUGAAAAACAGUAUGGAAGUUCUUCGAAAACGUAAGAAUUGAACUACUAUAUGAUCCGGCAAUCCCACUUCUAAGUAUUUACCUAAUGGAAUAAAAACAAGACCUCAAGGAGACAUUAGCACUUCUAUAUUCAUUGCAGCACUAUUCAUACUAACCAAGAUGUGGAAACAACUCAAAUAUCCAUCAACAAUUGAAUGUAUAAUUAAAAUGUGGUAUAUACGUAUAACAAGAUACUAUACAGGUGUUUGUUGGGUCAUUGAGAGAGAAACAUUGGAACACUUUGGAGUGGUUUAUGAGGGCAGUGGGUGCAAGAAAACAGAAUUUGGAGAUGAUUUGGUUGGCCUAUGUUCCCUUCAAAUAAAGGACUUUACUACACUGUA
rnacentral:lncRNA from 1 species